GCCUGGGUGGCUCAGCAGUUGAGCGUCUGUCUUUGGCUCAGGGCAUGAUCCUGUAGUACUGGGUUCGAGUCCCACAUCAGGCU
rnacentral:tRNA from 1 species